AGGCUAGCGAAAACACAGGCGUUUUGCUUACGUCAAUCACUGCGUCUGCACCUGUGCUACCCGAGA
rnacentral:snoRNA from 15 species